CGAGUCGGUCGGGCGGCCGCGGCGUGGGCCCUGCGGGGCGUGCGUCGAGGAAAGUCCGGACUCCACAGGGCAGGGUGGUGGGUAACACCCACCCGGGGUGACCCGCGGGACAGUGCCACAGAGAACAGACCGCCGUCGGUGCUUGCACCGGCGGUAAGGGUGAAACGGCGGUGUAAGAGACCACCAGCGCGGCGGGUGACCGUCGCGGCUCGGCAAACCCCACCCGGAGCAAGGCCAAGAAGGAGGGUCCGCGAGGAGCUUCCGCGCAGGCGUUCGAGGACGGCCCGUCCGAGCCUGCGGGUAGGCCGCACCGAGGUCGUCGGUGACGACGGCCCCAGAUGGAUGGUCGCCCCCGGUCGUCCGCGACCGGGACAGAAUCCGGCUUACAGACCGGCUCGUCUG
rnacentral:RNase_P_RNA from 1 species